rnacentral:rRNA from 1 species
UUGAACGCUGGCGGCAUGCUUUACACAUGCCAGUCGAACGGUAACAGGCCGCAAGGUGCUGACGAGUGGCGAACGGGUGAGUAAUGCAUCGGAACGUGCCCAGUCGUGGGGGAUAACUACUCGAAAGAGUAGCUAAUACCGCAUACGAUCUAUGGAUGAAAGCGGGGGACCGUAAGGCCUCGCGCGAUUGGAGCGGCCGAUGUCAGAUUAGGUAGUUGGUGGGGUAAAGGCUCACCAAGCCAACGAUCUGUAGCUGGUCUGAGAGGACGACCAGCCACACUGGGACUGAGACACGGCCCAGACUCCUACGGGAGGCAGCAGUGGGGAAUUUUGGACAAUGGGCGCAAGCCUGAUCCAGCAAUGCCGCGUGCAGGAAGAAGGCCUUCGGGUUGUAAACUGCUUUUGUACGGAACGAAACGGCUCUGGUUAAUACCCGGGGCUAAUGACGGUACCGGAAGAAUAAGCACCGGCUAACUACGUG